AUUGAACGCUGGCGGCAGGCUUAACACAUGCAAGUCGAGCGGGGUGAUGGUGCUUGCACUAUCACUUAGCGGCGGACGGGUGAGUAAUGCUUAGGAAUCUGCCUAUUAGUGGGGGACAACAUCUCGAAAGGGAUGCUAAUACCGCAUACGUCCUACGGGAGAAAGCAGGGGAUCACUUGUGACCUUGCGCUAAUAGAUGAGCCUAUGUCGGAUUAGCUUGUUGGUGGGGUAAAGGCCUACCAAGGCGACGAUCUGUAGCGGGUCUGAGAGGAUGAUCCGCCACACUGGGACUGAGACACGGCCCAGACUCCUACGGGAGGCAGCAGUGGGGAAUAUUGGACAAUGGGAGAACCCUGAUCCAGCCAUGCCGCGUGUGUGAAGAAGGCCUUAUGGUUGUAAAGCACUUUAAGCGAGGAGGAGGCUCUUUUGGUUAAUACCCAAGAUGAGUGGACGUUACUCGCAGAAUAAGCACCGGCUAACUCUGUGCCAGCCGCCGCAGUAA
rnacentral:rRNA from 1 species